UGCGCAGGCGGGCAUUUAAGUCAGUGGUGAAAUACUGCCGCUUAACGGUAGAACUGCCAUUGAUACUGAAUGUCUUGAGUAUGGUUGAGGUAGGCGGAAUGUGUAGUGUAGCGGUGAAAUGCAUAGAUAUUACACAGAACUCCGAUUGCGAAGGCAGCUUACUAAGCCAUAACUGACGCUGAGGCACGAAAGCGUGGGGAGCGAACAGGAUUAGAUACCCUGGUAGUCC
rnacentral:rRNA from 1 species